rnacentral:rRNA from 1 species
UGGGGAAUUUUGGACAAUGGGCGAAAGCCUGAUCCAGCAAUGCCGCGUGUGUGAAGAAGGCCUUCGGGUUGUAAAGCACUUUUGUCCGGAAAGAAAUCCUUGGCUCUAAUACAGUCGGGGGAUGACGGUACCGGAAGAAUAAGCACCGGCUAACUACGUGCCAGCAGCCGCGGUAAUACGUAGGGUGCAAGCGUUAAUCGGAAUUACUGGGCGUAAAGCGUGCGCAGGCGGUUUGCUAAGACCGAUGUGAAAUCCCCGGGCUCAACCUGGGAACUGCAUUGGUGACUGGCAGGCUAGAGUAUGGCAGAGGGGGGUAGAAUUCCACGUGUAGCAGUGAAAUGCGUAGAGAUGUGGAGGAAUACCGAUGGCGAAGGCAGCCCCCUGGGCCAAUACUGACGCUCAUGCACGAAAGCGUGGGGGAGCAAAACAGGAUUAGAUACCCUGGUAGUCCACGCCCUAAACGAUGUCAACUAGUUGUGGGGAUUCAUUUCCUUAGUAACGUAGCUAACGCGUGAAGUUGACCGCCUGGGGAGUACGGUCGCAAGAUUAAAACUC